rnacentral:lncRNA from 1 species
AGGGAUACGACGUGACGGCCAGGUUCCUGGACUACUGCGACUCGCGCAAGCCCGGGUUCGUGGCGGAGAUGAACGGCAAGCUCAAGGACGGCUACAACGACGACUACUUCGUGCAGAUCCUCGGGACGAGCGCGGACCAGCUGUGGAACGACUACAAGGCCAAGUACUCCCAGGGCUGAUCCGUUUCAUGUUGCAUCGCAUGCAUGUGUACCGGUCUACGUCUAUGUACUGAUAUACUAGUAGUAUACUUGUAUUACUACACGGUUGAUGUACUGCCUGGAAUGGAAUAAAUCAACGUUCGCAAGGUUGAGCAGAAAAUGGUGUCAGAGAGAAGAAUCCUUGACUGGGGGAGACUUGUGUGAAAUCUCACAUUAGGUGAUAAUCGAUUCUUUUAUAGAAAAAAUACAUGUCCGAACAUUCUCAAAUAAAAAAUUAUGGACACAUCAAUGAUUGAUGUACAACCUAAAAAAUUUCAGCUCCUAAUUCGACAAAUAUUAAUAAAAACAGAAAAGACAAUCACAUGUGAAUGGUGUCAAAGUACUAUUCACCCCAAAACAGUCACUAUUCGCAUUAGAAUUUGUCUUUUAUGAAUCUUCAAAUGUACAUCGUGUUUUGAACUGAUCUUUUUUCGGAGUUGUAGACAUGGCCCACAGGGAUGUUGUCAAAAUAAUUUUAGAUUUUUUCAACACGCAUGAACAUCAAUUUUUGAGGUUCAUCUCAUAAUCUCACAUAAUGUGAGAACUCAAUCAACUCAUACAAGUCUUCCCUUGUCUAGAUAUGUUGCAUCGAAAGUGGUUAUUGUAUCAUGCACGGGGUAUCCAUCGUCCGCCGCCGUUGUGAGAUUUGUGCCAUAUAUUUUCAUUGUUUGUUAGAAUAAAACUGAGGCUAUCCGUCGAUCAUCCGAGGACCAAGCAAUUAUAUGAGCACGACAUCGAGAUUUGUUAACGAGGUUCAUCAAUAUGGCUACAUCCCGGCGCAUGACUACGUGCGCUCCUUCCCGUGACACCGUCACAAUACCGCACCCUGGCCGUCCUGCGCGCCGGCACACGCCGCCGGUUCCCCUGCACGCAUGUGUUAUUAUGUUGGCAUAGGUUACAUCGUGUGCCUAUCCCGCUAUAUAUGAGAGGCCUAGGAUACAAGUGUCCUAUUAGGACACGACUCCAUAUCAUGUCUAAACACAAUACUACUACAAGUCCAACUCUAACCUACCUUGUACACAAUAUUUGACACGACUCUAACAGUUUGCAAAAUUUAUCAUCUUUCAAAGCAUUACUUCCUAUGUAUUAAAAUACAAGACAUUUUUUUUACAUUAUCACAUGGUAUUUCAUUAUUUUUCUUGUUUAACAAAAGAUAUCAUAAUGAUUCAAUGCGUAUCAGCAAUGCACUCGGAAACAAAUGCACUCUUAGUUGUUAGUACACAGCAAAACUUUAUGCUAGAAACAAGAAAAACGACCCAAUAAACUAGAUUUAACAUCACUAAACAAAUAUAUUUUUGUCAGAGACUAAAAACAUGGCGCAAAUCUCAAAAUUAUGGCAAACGGUGGAUACAUGCAUAGAAUAGUAGAACAUCAUUUCUCAUGUUGCAUUCACAACUUAUUUUUGAAAAAUCAUUUCAUUAGUGCGGCCUGCAUAGACGUUCCUUGUCUGUCAUAAGCUUCUUUCUCCACCCACAUCUAAAUCAACUUUCUAAUCGUGAAAAAAUCAGUAAAUAUUAAGAUGAAUGUCAUAUCAAGAUAUUAUGUGCCGUCAAAAACGAACUUCGGUAAAAGACAACUUUCACAAUUAUGUGAUAAAAAUUAUUCAUGAAAAAUAUUGAGGCUCUCAUUGGCUGUGUUGAGCCUACAUUUAUUACCUAAAAAUUCCAUGUAUGGAGAGAGGAUUUAUAGCACACACUGGCCGAGCAAGCCUAUUUUUGGUUGCAGGAUUGCGUCCAAAAAUUCAGAAACUAGCAAUUGUGUUUCCCACUAGCUACUGCCACAUAACCUUCACUGAGGAUCGCCGGAGAUAGAGGAGGUUCUGUUGGGAAAUCUUUGUUCGCUCAUGUCGGGGCGCAACGAAUGAUCUAAAAGAAGUAAUGUGGUCGUUAGUGUGCUUCAAGAUUCAUGAAGAAAAUUGAGUGGCUAAAUAGCGUUCGCUGGAACUGCCUAAAAAACUAACGAAGAUAUCACAAGGAAGCCCUUCUGGCCUCAUACCAAAAUUUAACACGACUAAGCCAUGACAAACACCAUCAUCAUUCCAAAAUUCGCUUCAACUUCGGUACAACCCUGCUAGACAAAUCAACAUAGGAGAUCUCUUCACACUCCUUCAUAAUAUAGGGUAAGAUGAUCUUUUCUAAAAAUAUGUCGCCCGCGCCGAGCGCGUCCUGAUGUAUCUACAACCGAUAGACAUGAUUUUUCUCUCUCUUUCUUCUUAAGCAUUAGAAAAUAUGCACCACGGAAGAUUCAAACUCCAACCCUCAAGGUUACUUCAAGUUAUAGUAGCCAGCUGAGAUAGAUUACUUGUUGUGCUCACUUGCUCUCUUUUUUCCUUCUUACAUCACAAAUAUAUAACUUCGUGAACUUUCAGGCCCGCUUUUUUCGUGUUUUUUGCACCAGUUUUUUUUUCUGUUUUAUUCUGGGUUUUUUCGUUCUUCACUUUAUUUCCUUUUUUGACGUUAACUUUUAAGAAAGAAAUAAAUUCAAACUUUCCCCAAAUAUUUGUGAAUCUUUUUCAAUUUCUUGCUCUUUUUUAGUGAACCCUUUUUUGAAAAUCUCUGAAAAAUUUCAAAUUUAUGAACAUUUCCUUCAAAAUCGUUGAAUGUCUUUCAAAUCAAUGAACGCUUGGGCUGGUCCAACAGGCGCCCAACGUGAGCGAUAUCUUCACCUAGUUGUGGUCGAGGACUAGUGUUUGUUUUACUUUUCUAUUUUGUGAUUUUCUUCCCUUUUUUCGUUACUCAAUUUUUCUCCUUUUUGAACUACGUUAUAAUUUAAAAAAUGUUCCCUUUUUUGAAUUAUUUCCUCACAAAGUUAAGAAAUGUUUGCAGUUUAGAAAAAAAGAGAAGUUUAAGAAGCAAAAUAUGGCGUAUGAAAUUUAUGUUAAUUUAUUUCAUCAAUUGUUGGAAUUUUGCUUAUAAUUUUGGAAAGAAAUUCUAGUUUCUAAAAUUUCCACACGCUACAUCAAAUUCCAAAAUUGUUGACAAAUUUGAAGAAAAGUUUAGUACUACAUAAGAAAAUGUUCACGUUGAUUGGUAAUGACGGAAAUUACAAAUAAAGGAAGCAUUCAAAUUAGGAAAUAAAUACAUGGUCAUCGAUGCACCAUAUGGCCCAGUCUGGCACACUUCUCUCAACCGGUGUUUUUUUACUAUGAAUAAAUGACCCCAACUUUUUGCAACAGUCUGGCACAAGGAUAUGAGACAUCCAUGGAAGGCUUGAAUGACUUUCAACACAAUUUGCGCGUUGCGACACGGCCGACCAUUUAUCGGUCCUUUCCCACCGCGAAAACUUCAGAAAAUGCAAAAUUUAUCAAAAAUUCAAACAACUUGGCUUGAAUUCUUGAAUUGGUCAAACAAUCUGGUGGAAAAAUAUUUCUCAUGUAUUAGAAAAAUCUGGUAUUUGGAAAAUGGUACUCAGCAUUUGAAAAUUUUAAAAUGUGCAUAAAAAAUUGUUAAUCCAAGCAUUUCAAAAUAGCACGACCCAUUUGAUAAAUAUUUAUAUUAUCUUUUUAUAUACGUUUAUCAGUGAACUGGUCGUAACAAACACGGGUCACCUAAAAAAUUUAGCUUCCUCGCAGCUUCUGUGCUUCGCACAGAAUCAUGCAUAAAGUUACGUAAUCUGAUCAGACAUGGAACCUGAUGGCACACGUAUAUGUGACAUGACACCGCAAAUUGGCACAGUCGUCCAAACUGAUUGCACAAUGAAGCUUCCUCGCAGCUUCGCGAAUUCAUUGACACCACAAAUUGGCGCAGUCGUCUAAAGAUAAGUCAAAUCAAGUCUGGCAUUGUUGGAAAGAACACGUCAAGCUGGACAAGCACGCACCGGUCGUACCAAUUCCAAACCACCUGAUUAAUACUGUACUCUAUAUUUUUAGAUCAACGACCCUCCGGUGCAGGCAGCCUAUAUAAAUUUGGCCCUCCACCGCCAGUCUGCCACUCACAGAAGCACUUAGCACGAUGAAGAUUGCCAUUGCAGCAGCAGCAGCCGCUCCCCUCCUCCUGCUCCUGGCCCUGGCCGGCACGGCCCGCGCCGUGACUUUCGACGCGACGAACACGGUUCCGGACUCGGCCGGCGGCCAGAGAUUCAACCAGGACGUUGGCGUCGACUACGCCAAGCAGGUGCUCUCCGAUGCCUCGUCCUUCAUCUGGACCACCUUCAACCAGCCCAACCCGGGAGACCGUAGGGACUACGACUCGGUCACCCUCGCUGUCGUCGACAACAUCGAGCCUGUGGCCCAGACCGUCGGCAACGCUAUCCAACUCCGAGCCCAAUACGUCGCCGGCUUCGACGGCGACGUCAAGCAAGAGGUAAUAACCCCGGCGGCACGGCGCGACGUCGCAUGCUUAUGUAUACGUAUAGCUUCUUAGGUUUCAACACAAGAUUGAUGUGCGCAGGUGAAAGGCGUACUGUACCACGAGGCGACGCACGUGUGGCAGUGGAUAGACCACUACGGCGAAAAACCGGGGCUCUUCGAGGGGAUCGCCGACUACGUGCGGCUCAAGGCCGACCUCGCGCCGGGGCACUGGGUGAAGGACGGGGGCGGCGACCGGUGGGAUCAGGGGUACGACGUGACGGCCAGGUUCCUGGACUACUGCGACUCGCUCAAGCCAGGGUUCGUGGCGGAGAUGAACGGCAAGCUCAAGGAUGGCUACAGCGACGACUACUUCGUGCAGAUCCUGGGGAAGAGCGUGGACGAGCUGUGGAGCGACUACAAGGCCAAGUACCCCCAGCCCCAGAGCUGAUGGUCGACGUACGAUGCAUGCAGUUUAUUGUUGUAUGUGUACCGGUAUACAUCGACGUUCGAACUGAUCCAGUAUACUUGUGUUAGAACACAGUUGCUGUAUUGACUGGAGCGGAAUAAAUUGACGUUGGCACGGUGUGUGUUAACGAACUGAGGAGACAAAUGGUGUCACGAGGG